UGUCUUAUGUGGACCAGCACAUUUUACGC
rnacentral:sRNA from 1 species